UUACUAAUGUGUGGGUAAGUGUUAAGUCCUUGAUGUUCUUACCUUUUGGACAAACCUUUGACCUUUUCAUGGUUAUAUCUGAACUGGUUACAGUGUAUAUCUGUGCUUUGUGUCUAUCUAACAGUGUCAGUCUCUUACAGAUCGUCAGUAGCCUUCUGCCACAGUGCCGUUCUUCGUAUCCUCCCCACAGCUGAGGGUUUGAGCCUCCUCAGCGCCUUUCAUAGCAGCAGUGUCAACCCUCCUGGAACCCUGACCCUCAGUCUGCCCACCAUGAGUGCCUCCUGUCAUGCUUCCUCAGUUGCAUCUGUGUGGAACAAAACACCUGACCUGUGACACUGUUGACCCAGAAACUUGCCCAACAUUCUGUUCAGGUGAGCAAGGUUGAGUGUUCCAUGAUGCCUCUACAGGGAGUGCCUGGCUCACAUUUACCUUGCUUUGGAGAAGCAGGAAUGAUGCUGUGACAUUUGCUACCGCCGGUAGAGCCCCAUGAGCCUACUGACACAGCCAUUGCCAGAACUGCAUUACCUAUGUAUCCACCAUUCAGUUUGGGAAUUUGGAAUAUUAAAGAUCAAAUUAAUCAAAUCAUUUUCAGUAUGACCCACAGUCAUCACACACUUUACUGUGUGUGUCAGCGUAAACAUUUGUGUGUACCAUAAACAGUAUGGCACCACAUGUACCACAAGUAUGUUAACCAUUUGUGUGCAUUUCAUAAAGCAUGUACAAAUGUAGAGGUUAUAGCUUUCAAUGCUUCAGAAAUUUCUUCUUUUGAACCCAUAUGUAAAGCACUACCCUGCAUUUUCCAUGUUUUUCCUUUUCCAAGUAUUAUUCCUACACAUAAGGCUGCCUCGACAUUGAAAAAUAAGGGAAAACCCUGCAGGAUAAGCACAACCUGAAGCAAUGCAUUCCAAAAAAUGUGUGUGUCACUGUUGGCUUUAUAUCAAAAGCUGCAAAAAGUUGACAGUACAUCAGUAUUCAACAUCCCCUCUUUGUGUAGUUGACAGUGCAUGAAUGUAACUUCAGAGUGACACUUCUUUCAAAGUGAAAAAAGGACUCAUUAUCAAUCCACACAUGCUGAUUCACUUAAUCAACUGCCAUAAGCUGAAGCCAAAAGGGACGUUACUGGUUGAGCUAGAGUUGGAGAUAACGAAAUGUGUAUCCUUUGCAAUUGCAUCAUAGAACUUUUCUUGACUCCACGCUUUAGAAAUCUAACCCCCAUAGGCUUGUUUCGCAAGGUAGAAGUUUUAGACUCUGAUUAGACUGGCAUAAAGCUAAUGAGUGGACAUAAUGAGAGGGUUUAUUCACUUACACAGAGGGUACAGAUAAAAGCUUUUACAGCCUAAAUUUGGCAAUACUUAUGUCACAAAGAAGAGUACAAUUUUCUUGGCAGGAUGUUAUUUAUUUAAAACAAAAUGAACAAUAUGUGAUAAUGUGAAUAAGACAUUAUCGGCAUUUAAAAGCAAUAUUGUUGUAAUAUGUUUGUUUCAGAUAUUGCCCACUACAGUAGAAGCCUUCUUUUUCAAAUCUGAAAUAAACUACUCAUACUCGCACUUGCUCUCUCUUUUUUAUCUGUUCAGUAUCCAAAGACUGUAGGAAAACAUGGGUGUUAGUGAUAUCAUCCAUGUUUUUGAAUAAAUAUUAAAAGUCUG